UACGGAGGGUGCGAGCGUUGUCCGGAUUCACUGGGCGUAAAGGGUGCGCAGGCGGCCAGGUGUGUUAGGCGUGAAAGCCCGGGGCUUAACCCCGGAAUUGCACCUAAAACUACUUGGCUAGAGCAUUGGAGAGGGUAGCGGAAUUCACGGUGUAGCAGUGAAAUGCGUAGAUAUCGUGAGGAACACCAGAGGCGAAGGCGGCUACCUGGACAAUUGCUGACGCUCAGGCACGAAAGCGUGGGGAGCAAAAGGG
rnacentral:rRNA from 1 species